UGGACACUGGCAUAAGGGCGAGGAGUAUAUUCGAACGUACCCCGAGGUGGGGGAUAGCGGGGGGAGACUCCCGGUAAUACCCCAUAUCCUCUUCGGAGGAAAGGCUUGCCGNCUUGGGAGCGGCGAAUAUCCUAUCAGGUUGUUGGUGGGGUAAUGGCCCACCAAGCCAAAGACGGGUAGCGGGUGUGAGAGCACGACCCGCCGCAUCGGGACUGAGACACUGCCCGGACUCCUACGGGAGGCUGCAGUAACGAAUCUUCCGCAAUGCGCGAAAGCGUGACGGAGCAAUGCCGCGUGUGGGACGAAGCGGUUUCGCCGUGUAAACCACUGUCAGGAACUAGAAAGAACUGAUCGGUUCCAGAGGAAGGGCCGGCUAAUCUCAUGCCAGCAGCCGCGGCAAGACGAGAGGCCCAAGCGUUGAGCGGAAUCACUGGGCUUAAAGCGUGCGUAGGCGGGACGGCAGGUGUCUUGUGAAAUCCCACGGCUCAACCGUGGAAUUGCAGGGCAAACCGCCGACCUUGAGGCAGGUAGGGGUCACCCGGAACGUUGCGUGGAGCGGUGAAAUGCGUAGAUAUGCAACGGAACGCCAAAAGUGAAGACAGGUGACUGGGCCUGACCUGACGCUGAGGUACGAAAGCGUGGGGAGCAAACAGGAUUAGAUACCCUGGUAGUCCACGCCGUAAACGAUGUGCACUGGGUCGGUGCGGUUUUGACGCCGUGCCGGCCGUAGAGAAAUUGUUAAGUGCACCGCCUGGGGAGUACGGUCGCAAGGCUAAAACUCAAAGGAAUUGACGGGGGCUCACACAAGCGGUGGAGCAUGUUGCUUAAUUCGAAGCAACGCGAAGAACCUUACCUGGGCUUGACAUGUAUGGAUUAGCUGUUGGAAACUUCAGUGACGCUGCUUGCAGUGGAACAUACACAGGUGCUGCAUGGCUGUCGUCAGCUCGUGCUGUGAAGUGUCGGGUUAAGUCCCUUAACGAGCGCAACCCUUAUCGCUAGUUGCCAGCGCGUCAUGGCGGGGACUCUAGCGAGACUGCCGGUGUCAAACCGGAGGAAGGUGGGGAUGACGUCAAGUCCUCAUGGCCCUUACGCCCAGGGAUGCAAACGUGCUACGAUGGUCGGGACAGAGGGCAGCGAACCUGCAAAGGCAAGCUAAUCCCAGCAAACUCGGCCUCAGUUCAGAUCGCAGGCUGCAACUCGCCUGCGUGAAGGAGGAAUCGCUAGUAAUCGCCGGUCAGAAUACGGCGGUGAUCCGUUCCCGGGCCUUGUACACACCGCCCGUCACACCAUGGAAGCUGGCCACGCCCGAAGUCGUUACCCUAACCUU
rnacentral:rRNA from 1 species